rnacentral:rRNA from 1 species
UGAUGAGGAGCUUGCUCCUCUGAUUUAGCGGCGGACGGGUGAGUAACACGUGGGUAAUCUGCCUGUAAGACGGGGAUAACUCCGGGAAACCGGGGCUAAUACCGGAUAAUAAGAGAAGAAGCAUUUCUUCUUUUUGAAAGUCGGUUUCGGCUGACACUUACAGAUGAGCCCGCGGCGCAUUAGCUAGUUGGUGAGGUAACGGCUCACCAAGGCGACGAUGCGUAGCCGACCUGAGAGGGUGAUCGGCCACACUGGGACUGAGACACGGCCCAGACUCCUACGGGAGGCAGCAGUAGGGAAUCUUCGGCAAUGGGCGAAAGCCUGACCGAGCAACGCCGCGUGAGCGAUGAAGGCCUUCGGGUCGUAAAGCUCUGUUGUUAGAGAAGAACAAGUACGAGAGUAACUGCUCGUACCUUGACGGUACCUAACCAGAAAGCCACGGCUAACUACGUGCCAGCAGCCGCGGUAAUACGUAGGUGGCAAGCGUUAUCCGGAAUUAUUGGGCGUAAAGCGCGCGCAGGCGGUCUCUUAAGUCUGAUGUGAAAGCCCACGGCUCAACCGUGGAGGGUCAUUGGAAACUGGGAGACUUGAGUGCAGGAGAGAAAAGUGGAAUUCCACGU